rnacentral:rRNA from 1 species
UACGCAGGGUGCAAGCGUUAAUCGGAAUUACUGGGCGUAAAGCGUGCGCAGGCGGUUUUGUAAGCCAGAUGUGAAAUCCCCGGGCUUAACCUGGGAAUGGCAUUUGGGACUGCAAGGCUUGAGUGCGGCAGAGGAGACUGGAAUUCCUGGUGUAGCAGUGAAAUGCGUAGAUAUCAGGAGGAACACCGAUGGCGAAGGCAGGUCUCUGGGCUGACACUGACGCUCAUGCACGAAAGCGUGGGGAGCAAACAGG